rnacentral:rRNA from 1 species
UACGUAGGUGGCAAGCGUUUGUCCGGAAUUACUGGGCGUAAAGGGCGCGUAGGUGGCCUCCUAAGUCGAACGUGAAAUCCCUGGGCUCAACCCAGGAACUGCGUCCGAGACUGGGAGGCUUGAAUCCGGGAGAGGGAUGCGGAAUUCCAGGUGUAGCGGUGAAAUGCGUAGAUAUCUGGAGGAACACCGGUGGCGAAGGCGGCAUCCUGGACCGGUAUUGACACUGAGGCGCGAAAGCCAGGGGAGCAAACGGG